CCCCGCCUCGCUCUGCUGGUAGAGCAUGAGACUCAUAAUCUCAGAGCAGUGGGUUUGUGUCCCACGUCGUGCA
rnacentral:tRNA from 1 species